AACGGUGCAAAUGAAAGCUUUUGACGCCGGGAAGAACUAUUCUGAAAAGGGGUUGAUGAUCGGAGAGGAGGAGGUGGUCGGAAUCUUAGAGAGAAGGUGGAGGGUUUUAGAGAGAAGGAGGAGAAAAUGGUGAGUUUUCUGGGGAUGGAAGAUGAAGAGUUUGCAUGUAGAAGAAAAAUGACGUCAGCUUCUAAAAUCCUUCUUUAAAUACUGCCACCCACAAAACCGCACGGUCCAAUCCCUGUCGGCCACCUGUCUUCACUUUCCGAGCUCUAUAAUCCCUGAGCUGCCACUUGGAUUCCACUUUCUGUGAAUUCCCUCCUUUCCUGCUGCCACGCAAUUCUUAAGGAAAGGGAAAUUAAAUGCAACAGGUUUUGUCUCCCACUUACACGGGGAAACUAGAAGGGCUUGACAUGUGUUCUCCACUAAGGUGGAGAAUUAAUGGGGUGUGACAAUUUUAAUAAUAAUAAUAUAUUUUUUUUCAUGUUAAAAAUUAUUUUUUAUUUUUUUUCUUCUCAUAAUAAAUUUUACAAUUAUAUAUAAUAUUUUCUUUGCAUACAUACCGAGUAAUCAAAGCUGGCAACUUCAAUAAUCAAUACCCAAUCCAGGCUCAAAAAUUGAAAGUUAU
rnacentral:lncRNA from 1 species